rnacentral:rRNA from 1 species
UACGGGGGGAGCAAGCGUUGUUCGGAUUUACUGGGCGUAAAGGGCGCGUAGGCGGCCAGCACAAGUCAGUUGUGAAAUCUCCGGGCUUAACCCGGAACGGUCAAGUGAAACUGUCGUGCUAGAGUACAGAAGGGGCAACUGGAAUUCUCGGUGUAGCGGUGAAAUGCGUAGAUAUCGAGAGGAACACCUGCGGCGAAGGCGGGUUGCUGGGCUGAUACUGACGCUGAGGCGCGAAAGCCAGGGGAGCGAACGGG